UCCCAGUUAGUACAAUGGUUAGUAUAGGGCACUCUCAGAACCUGAUGGACUUGAACCUUCAGUGCUACUGCUCAGAUCAGGGUUCGAUUCCCUGGCCGGGAA
rfam:Pseudozyma hubeiensis SY62 DNA, scaffold: PHS13.